UAGGGAAUAUUGCGCAAUGGGGGAAACCCUGACGCAGCGACGCCGCGUGAGUGGUGAAGGCCUUCGGGUCGUAAAGCUCUGUCGUAUGGGACUAACAAAAUGAAGGUACCAUGCAAGAAAGGAUCGGCUAACUUCGUGCCAGCAGCCGCGGUAAGACGAGGGAUCCUAGCGUUGUUCGGAAUUAUUGGGCGUAAAGCGGGUGUAGGCGGACUUAUAAGUCAGGUGUGAAAUCCCAGGGCUCAACCCUGGAAGUGCACUUGAUACUGCAAGUCUUGAAUGUGGUAGAGAUUACUGGAAUUCUUGGUGUAGUGGUGAAAUACGUAGAUAUCAACAGGAAUACCGGUGGCGAAGGCGGCUAUCUGGCUAAGCACUGACACUCAGACCCGAAAGCGUGGGGAUCAAACG
rnacentral:rRNA from 1 species